UGUCCCGUAAAUCGGGACUAGUAUGAAUGGCUAAACGAGGUCUUAACUGUCUCUUACAGGCAAUCAGUGAAAUUGAUCUCCCCGUGCAAAAGCAGGGAUAACUACAUAAGACGAGAAGACCCUGUGGAACUUCAAAAACAGCAACCACCCCAACAUACAUACACACCCACCCCGGGCUCACUUAACCCACGGGCGACUGGUCUGCAUUUUUUCGGUUGGGGCGACCUUGGAGCAAAACAAAACCUCCAAACACUAGACCAUCCCUCUAGACUGAGAGCAACUCCUCAACGUACUAAUAGUAACCAGACCCAAUAUAAUUGAUCGAUGGACCAAGCUACCCCAGGGAUAACAGCGCAAUCUCCUCCAAGAGUCCAUAUCGACGGGGAGGUUUACGACCUCGAUGUUGGAUCAGGACAUCCUAGUGGUGCAGCAGCUACUAAGGGUUAAUUUGUUCAACGAUUAACAGU
rnacentral:rRNA from 1 species